CCUACGGGUGGCAGCAGUAGGGAAUAUUGCUCAAUGGGGGAAACCCUGAAGCAGCAAAGCCGCGUGGGGGAUGACGGUUUUCGGAUUGUAAACUCCUUUUGUUAGAGAAGAUAAUGACGGUAUCUAACGAAUAAGCACCGGCUAACUCCGUGCCAGCAGCCGCGGUCAUACGGAGGGUGCAAGCGUUACUCGGAAUCACUGGGGGUAAAGCGCGCGUAGGCGGGGUAGCAAGUCAGAUGUGAAAUCCUAGGGCUUAACCAUAGAACUGCAUUUGAAACUGGUAGUCUAGAGUAGGGGAGAGGUAGGUGGAAUGCUUGGUGUAGGGGUAAAAUCCAUAGAGAUCAAGAAGAAUACUCAUUGCGAAGGCGACCUGCUAGAACAUAACUGACGCUGAUGCGCGAAAGCGUGGGGAUCGAACAGGAUUAGAUACCCGAGUAGUC
rnacentral:rRNA from 1 species